GCCGUAGCUUAGUGGUGGAGCAUCUGCCUUACAUGCAGAAGGUCCCAGGUUCAAUCCCCGGCAUCAACA